rnacentral:rRNA from 1 species
ACUGCUCAGUAACACGUGGAUAACAUGCCCUAAGGUGGGGGAUAAUCUCGGGAAACUGAGGAUAAUACCCCAUAGAUCUAGAGCGCUGGAAUGCCUUUAGGUCGAAAACUCCGGUGCCUUAGGAUUGGUCUGCGGUCUAUCAGGCAGUAGUGGGUGUAACGGACCCACUAGCCCGUGACGGAUAUGGGCCUUGAGAGAGGGUGCCCAGAGAUGGACUCUGAGACAUGAGUCCAGGCCCUACGGGGCGCAGCAGUCGCGAAAACUUCGCAAUGGGGGAAACCCCGACGAGGGAAUUCCAAGUGCUAGCACUUUGUGUUAGCUGUUCUUCUGUCUAAAAAACAGGAGAAGUAAGGGGCGGGUAAGACGGGUGCCAGCCGCCGCGGUAAUACCCGCGCCCCGAGUGGUGGUCGAUAUUAUUGAGCCUAAAACGUUCGUAGCCGGUCUUCUAAAUCCUUGGGUAAAUCGGGCAGCUUAACUGUCCGAAUUCCGGGGAGACUGGGAGACUUGGGACCGGGAGAGGUCAGAGGUACUUCUGGGGUAGGGGUAAAAUCCUGUAAUCCUGGAAGGACCACCGGUGGCGAAGGCGUCUGACUAGAACGGAUCCGACGGUGAGGGACGAAGCCCUGGGGCGCAAACGGGAUUAGAUACCCCGGUAGUCCAGGGUGUAAACGCUGCGGGCUUGGUGUUGGGGGUCCUUAGUGGGCGCCCAGUGCCGGAGAGAAGUUGUUAAGCCUGCUGCUUGGGGAGUAUGUCCGCAAGGAUGAAACUUAAAGGAAUUGGCGGGGGAGCAC